CCGGCCCUGAGUAAGAUGGACUGAGCAUGCUCCCUACUUGUUACUCAGGCACUAUAAAAGACAGCCUGAAACUAUGCUCGGGUCCUUUGUCACUGCCCAGCACCAGGAAGCCCUGUGAAUGCUUUGCGACUCAGCCAUUGAGAAAGAUCACCAACUGCAAGAGCUGACACCAGAGAGCCUAAAGUCUUCAUCAAGAGACAUCAAGUGCUGGCAGCAAAUCUCGAGGGGACCACAAGAGGAGAUAAAGAUUUUGAAUAUGUCCUUGCUACAUCUGGUAGAUAUUACCUGUGAAGGGCAGCACAUCUCCUGCAGGUUUGACGCACAUGGAAGACUAGAGCUAAUCCAGGUCUAAAUGAAGACUUAAAUUAAACCCGGCUAGAGGCAGGUUUAACUUUAGAGUAAAGGCUGAAUGCUUCACUGUGCAUGGUGAAACUGGAUUACUUUGACUACAUCAGACCACCACCAAGACCAGAAAGAAGAUUCCUCAGAGACAGAAGUAACCCACUUGAUGAAUUUGAUGAUACAGAUUUAGAUAUUACAAUGACCAGCAUGUUCUCAUGGCAGAGGUACCCAAUGACAAAACUGGACAC